AUUGAACGCUGGCGGCAGGCCUAACACAUGCAAGUCGAGCGGAUGAAGGGAGCUUGCUCCUGGAUUCAGCGGCGGACGGGUGAGUAAUGCCUAGGAAUCUGCCUGCCAGUGGGGGAUAACGUCCGGAAACGGGCGCUAAUACCGCAUACGUUCUGAGGGAGAAAGUGGGGGAUCUUCGGACCUCACGCUAUCAGAUGAGCCUAGGUCGGAUUAGCUAGUUGGUGGGGUAAAGGCCUACUAAGGCGACGAUCCGUAACUGGUCUGAGAGGAUGAUCAGUCACACUGGAACUGAGACACGGUACAGACUCCUACGGGAGGCAGCAGUGGGGAAUAUUGGACAAUGGGCGAAAGCCUGAUCCAGCCAUGCCGCGUGUGUGAAGAAGGUCUUCGGAUUGUAAAGCACUUUAAGUUGGGAGGAAGGGCAGUAAGUGAAUACCUUGCUGUUUUGACGUUACCAACAGAAUAAGCACCGGCUAACUUCGUG
rnacentral:rRNA from 1 species